UACGGGGGGGUAAGCGUUGUUCGGAAUUACUGGGCGUAAAGGGCUCGUAGGCGGCCAACUAAGUCGGAUGUGAAAUCCCCAGGCUUAACCUGGGAACUGCAUCCGAUACUGGAUGGCUUGAAUUCGGGAGAGGGAUGCAGAAUUCCAGGUGUAGCGGUGAAAUGCGUAGAUAUCAGGAGGAACACCAAUGGCGAAGGCAGCUCGCUGGAACGGUACUGACGCUGAGGCGCGAAAGCGUGGGGAGCGAACAGG
rnacentral:rRNA from 1 species